AAUUAAGCGACAAAAAUCAAGCCACAAAAUAUCCAUCACAAUCGUAUUGAUUGUGCGAACAGAUCUCUGUAUGUCAAGUUGUAUUGCGUGUUUUUUUCUUUUUUUUUUUCUUUCUUGUUUUAAUUGCAUUGCCUAUUUAAUCCAUUAGAUAUUCGGUAACUGUAAAAAAGACUUACAAAUAAAUGAUACGAGGUUCAAUCGAUUCUAGAGUUAUGAUAUCUAUCUACAAAUAAUAAUACCAUUGUAAAAACGGAGAGACCAAAGCGAUACACAGUGUAAUUAAAUAUAAUAUAAACUGCCUCAAAAUGGCUACCUAUUUACUGCUAUCAUAAGUGGCUAUUAUGAUAAUAGUCAUUAAGUAUCGUUCACACUUCUUUGAUUGUGGUUUAGUUACAUACUUUAAGACGUUAUGAUACAUGUGAGUAUGACACGGAGUUCCACUAAAAAUAUCUGUUAGAUACGCUGAGCAUUACUGACUUAAGCACUGUACUAAAUUCACAUAAAAUUGUAUUGUAUUAUUAUUAUUAGAAAACUAAUUAUUUUUCAUUGGUUUGAAAUACUGGUUUAAUAUAUCCGUAUAAAACCUUUGUCAACUGGAACUCUUAGAAUAAUGAUUUACACGAUACCGAUUCCUUGUUGGAAAGAAUGCUAUAUACGAGUAAGUCAUUACAAUUCAACUCUUAUUGGACAUUACAACAGGCAACAAUUGCAAGUCAUGUUUUUAGUUCGCAUUUAACAUCACAAUAUCCAAUAUAAUUAUUUUUCUUUCCUUUCUCUUUCCUUUCUUUUUCCGAUAUAUCGCUAUAUUGUGAAAUGUACAGAGAUAAUCGAGUUAAAUACGUAAUGAUCGCAUAAAGAAAUGAUAAAUGAGAAUAAAUAUAAUUAUGCAAGAUCUGUGACAUAUGUUUCGAUUAAUGUUCAACUUUAGCUUCUUAAGAAUGUGUUCAUCAGUCGGAUGGCAGCAGUCUUACUGCAAUUAAUAGAAGCUCUAACAAGCCUUCUAAGUUAGAUUAGUUUUUCCCUUUACAUGUAUUUUGUAUAUUGUCUAAUAUAAAUAAAUUAAUGAUCCAGUAUGAGGCCAGAGAAAGGCAGUUACAUACUCUAAGUGAUAGAUAAACUUUACUUUAUCUUCUAUGUGUUAUUGUUCAUAUCCACUUUUGUUUUGUAUCUGGCACUCUUUCCUAUUUUAGGCUGCUUCUCAGUUUAACUGUAAUUUAUUUUGCUGGAUUAUUGCGUUGCAUGGAAAAAUAUGGCUUUAUCCAAAAUGCUAUUUAACAAAGGCAAUACAUCGUACAAUUACAUUGUAUGCGCGCCACAGUUGUUGUCACACAAUUAAACUUCUUUGAAAAGGCAGAACCAGUGUCCGUAAAAACGAGAGGCUCCCCGAUUUUUACAGACAUCAGGCAGUCUUCCUAAGGACAUUGAAUCCAACAUAAAUAUGAUGUAAGACACGAUCGCUUGCAAGUUUCUUAACUUAAUGCUGUGUCCGAACUUUUACAUAUGGUAUCUUUUUUUAUAUACAUGGAGCGGAGCUGUUCGAGACACAAAAUUACACCUCCAAAACACACACUAGAUCGGUAAUGGCAUAAAUGCAAAAAUACGUUAUAUGCUGUAAACAUAGUAGUCUUGUAAAUCAGCACACAAACGUGCUGCUACGAAUGAAUAAGGCAAUGUGAACUGAAAGAGAAAAAUAAAAUAUAAA